rnacentral:rRNA from 1 species
UACGUAGGGACCAAGCGUUGUUCGGAUUUACUGGGCGUAAAGGGCGCGUAGGCGGCGCUGUAAGUCACUUGUGAAAUCUCCGGGCUUAACUCGGAACGGUCAAGUGAUACUGCAGUGCUAGAGUGCAGAAAGGGCAAUCGGAAUUCUUGGUGUAGCGGUGAAAUGCGUAGAUAUCGAGAGGAACACCAGUGGCGAAGGCGAGUCCCUGGACACUUCCUGACACUGAGGCACGAAAGCUAGGGGAGCAAACAGG